ACGGAAGGCAGCAGUAGGGAAUAUUGCACAAUGGGGGGAACCCUGAUGCAGCAACGCCACGUGUGGGAAGAAGCAUUUCGGUGUGUAAACCACUGUCGUGAGGGAAUAAUGCUUGGUCUCGGCCAAGUUGAAUGUACCUCGAAAGGAAGCACCGGCAAACUUCGUGCCAGCAACCGCGGUAAUACGAGGGGUGCAAGCGUUGUUCGGAAUCACUGGGCGUAAAGGGAGCGCAGGCGGAGAUGCAAGCAGUCUGUACAAUACCGGGGCCCAACCCCGGACCUGCAGACUGGACUGUUUCUCUUGGAUAGUUCAGGGGCAAGCGGAAUUCCUGGUGUAGCGGUGGAAUGCGUAGAGAUCAGGAAGAACACCGAUGGCGAAGGCAGCUUGCUGGGGACUUAUCGACGCUCAUGCUCGAAAGUGCGGGUAGCAAACAGGAUUAGAUACCCUGGUA
rnacentral:rRNA from 1 species